rnacentral:lncRNA from 1 species
UAGAUCCGCAGGAUGAGGAGGGAUGACUCGUGCGGCAGAAAUGCCAUGUGUUCUUCCCUCCAGAUAUUGUUAUGUUGUUCGUCUUGUCUAGAGAUGAGAUUUGUAUGGCCAUGUGCCGGUGCAUGUGUUCUGGGCUGGUGCCGCAAGUAGGAGAAACUGAAUCUAAUUCGGCAUCUUAUGAUCUUUGCACCAUUUGUUACUGGAGUCGACCAUCAUCACCUGAAGAAUGCCUGGGACGGUUGAACCAUCUCUUAGAAACAGCCCUGUAUUUCAGACAAGGGUGAAGUGGAGGAAUGUGUUUGAUUGAUUUCCAUGUGUAGUUUCAGCAAACUCUUUGUACUACUACUGAAGCAAGCGUGUCUGUAGCUGAGCUGAUGUCUGCAGUUACACUUCAUUUCCCUCCAGAUAUUGUUAUGUUGUUCGUCUUGUCUAGAGAUGAGAUUUGUAUGGCCAUGUGCCGGUGCAUGUGUUCUGGGCUGGUGCCGCAAGUAGGAGAAACUGAAUCUAAUUCGGCAUCUUAUGAUCUUUGCACCAUUUGUUACUGGAGUCGACCAUCAUCACCUGAAGAAUGCCUGGGACGGUUGAACCAUCUCUUAGAAACAGCCCUGUAUUUCAGACAAGGGUGAAGUGGAGGAAUGUGUUUGAUUGAUUUCCAUGUGUAGUUUCAGCAAACUCUUUGUACUACUACUGAAGCAAGCGUGUCUGUAGCUGAGCUGAUGUCUGCAGUUACACUUCAUUUCUCCCGGGAAUCCUGUUGUGUGGAUGUGAUAAAAAAG